rnacentral:rRNA from 1 species
CGUAGGGUGCGAGCGUUAAUCGGAAUUACUGGGCGUAAAGCGUGCGCAGGCGGUUUUGUAAGACAGGCGUGAAAUCCCCGGGCUCAACCUGGGAACUGCGCUUGUGACUGCUAAGGCUAGAGUACGGCAGAGGGGGGUGGAAUUCCACGUGUAGCAGUGAAAUGCGUAGAGAUGUGGAGGAACACCAAUGGCGAAGGCAGCCCCCUGGGUCGAUACUGACGCUCAUGCACGAAAGCGUGGGUAGCAAACAGGAUUAGAUACCCUGGUAGUCCACGCCCUAAACGAUGUCAACUAGGUGUUGGGUGGGUAAAACCAUUUAGUACCGGAGCUAACGCGUGAAGUUGACCGCCUGGGGAGUACGGCCGCAAGGUUA